GGGCCGGUAGCUUAGUCCGGCUUAAAGCAUCGGGCUUUUAACCCGAUGACCGAGGGUUCAAAUCCCUCCCGGCCCG
rnacentral:tRNA from 1 species